AUUGAACGCUGGCGGCAGGCCUAACACAUGCAAGUCGAGCGGAUGAAGGGAGCUUGCUCCUGGAUUCAGCGGCGGACGGGUGAGUAAUGCCUAGGAAUCUGCCUGGUAGUGGGGGAUAACGUCCGGAAACGGGCGCUAAUACCGCAUACGUCCUGAGGGAGAAAGUGGGGGAUCUUCGGACCUCACGCUAUCAGAUGAGCCUAGGUCGGAUUAGCUAGUUGGUGGGGUAAGGGCCUACCAAGGCGACGAUCCGUAACUGGUCUGAGAGGAUGAUCAGUCACACUGGAACUGAGACACGGUCCAGACUCCUACGGGAGGCAGCAGUGGGGAAUAUUGGACAAUGGGCGAAAGCCUGAUCCAGCCAUGCCGCGUGUGUGAAGAAGGUCUUCGGAUUGUAAAGCACUUUAAGUUGGGAGGAAGGGCAGUAAGUUAAUACCUUGCUGUUUAGACGUUACCAACAGAAUAAGCACCGGCUAACUUCGUG
rnacentral:rRNA from 1 species